GCCGGGGUAGCCAAGUGGCCAAAGGCGCAGGACUUAAGAUCCUGUCCCGCAGGGGUUCACGAGUUCAAAUCUCGUCCCCGGCA
rnacentral:tRNA from 1 species